rnacentral:rRNA from 1 species
CCCUUAGAUGUUCUGGGCCGCACGCGUGCUACACUGAGUGGAUCAGCGGGUCAGGUUGCGCGAAAGUGUUUCCUAAUCUUUAAAUCCGCUCGUGAUGGGGAUUGACGGUUGCAAUUUUCCGUCAUGAACGAGGAAUACCUUGUAAGCGCGGGUCAUCAUCCCGCGCUGAAUACGUCCCUGCCCUUUGUACACACCGCCCGUCGCUCCUACCGAUUGAGUGGUCCGGUGAGGUUUUGGGAUCUGAGCGGAAAGAGCGUUUCGCUGUUUCUGCCCGGAAAACUCAGUCGAACCUUAUCAUUUAGAGGAUGGAGAAGUCGUAACA